rfam:Felis catus isolate Cinnamon breed Abyssinian chromosome B2, whole genome shotgun sequence.
AUCUGGCUGGCUCAGUUGGUAGAGCAUCCGACUCUUGAUCUCGGGGCUGUGAGUUCAAGCCCUACGUUAGGUG